rnacentral:rRNA from 1 species
AGAGUUUGAUCCUGGCUCAGGAUGAACGCUAGCUACAGGCUUAACACAUGCAAGUCGAGGGGCAGCAUGAACUUAGCUUGCUAAGUUUGAUGGCGACCGGCGCACGGGUGAGUAACACGUAUCCAACCUGCCGAUGACUCGGGGAUAGCCUUUCGAAAGAAAGAUUAAUACCCGAUGGCAUAGUUCUUCCGCAUGGUAGAACUAUUAAAGAAUUUCGGUCAUCGAUGGGGAUGCGUUCCAUUAGGUUGUUGGCGGGGUAACGGCCCACCAAGCCUUCGAUGGAUAGGGGUUCUGAGAGGAAGGUCCCCCACAUUGGAACUGAGACACGGUCCAAACUCCUACGGGAGGCAGCAGUGAGGAAUAUUGGUCAAUGGGCGCAGGCCUGAACCAGCCAAGUAGCGUGAAGGAUGACUGCCCUAUGGGUUGUAAACUUCUUUUAUAUGGGAAUAAAGUUUUCCACGUGUGGAAUUUUGUAUGUACCAUAUGAAUAAGGAUCGGCUAACUCCGUGCCAGCAGCCGCGGUAAUACGGAGGAUCCGAGCGUUAUCCGGAUUUAUUGGGUUUAAAGGGAGCGUAGAUGGAUGUUUAAGUCAGUUGUGAAAGUUUGCGGCUCAACCGUAAAAUUGCAGUUGAUACUGGAUGUCUUGAGUGCAGUUGAGGCAGGCGGAAUUCGUGGUGUAGCGGUGAAAUGCUUAGAUAUCACGAAGAACUCCGAUUGCGAAGGCAGCCUGCUGGACUGUAACUGACGCUGAUGCUCGAAAGUGUGGGUAUCAAACAGGAUUAGAUACCCUGGUAGUCCACACAGUAAACGAUGAAUACUCGCUGUUUGCGAUAUACAGUAAGCGGCCAAGCGAAAGCGUUAAGUAUUCCACCUGGGGAGUACGCCGGCAACGGUGAAACUCAAAGGAAUUGACGGGGGCCCGCACAAGCGGAGGAACAUGUGGUUUAA